UAACAAGGAUUCCCCUAGUAACUGCGAGUGAAGCGGGAAGAGCUCAAAUUUAAAAUCUGGCAGUCUUCUGGCUGUCCGAGUUGUAAUCUGGAGAAGCGUUUUCUGUGUUAGACCGUGUACAAGUCUCCUGGAACGGAGCGUCAUAGAGGGUGAGAAUCCCGUCCAUGACACGGACUACUAAUACUUUGUGAUACGCUCUCGAAGAGUCGAGUUGUUUGGGAAUGCAGCUCAAAAUGGGUGGUAAAUUCCAUCUAAAGCUAAAUACAGGCGAGAGACCGAUAGCGAACAAGUACCGUGAGGGAAAGAUGAAAAGCACUUUGGAAAGAGAGUUAAACAGUACGUGAAAUUGUUGAAAGGGAAACGCUUGAAGUCAGUCGCGUUGUGCAGAACUCAGCCUUGCCUCGGCUUGGUGUACUUUCUGCACAACGGGUCAACAUCAAUUUUGGCCCAUGGAGAAAGGUGGGGGGAAUGUAGCGCUGUUUCGGCAGCGUGUUAUAGCCCUCUAUUGUAUACAUGGGCUGGGAUUGAGGAUCGCAGCACGCCCUUGUGGCCGGGGGUUCGCCCUACGUACCGUGCUUAGGAUGUUGGCAGAAUGGCUUUAAGCGACCCGUCUUGAAACACGGACCAAGGAGUCUAACAUGCUUGCGAGUGUUCGGGUGGAAAACCCUUGUGCAUAAUGAAAGUGAAAGUUGGGAACCUCCGCAAGGGGGUGCACCGACGCCCGGCCCUGACGUUCUCUGACGGUGCUGCGGUAGAGCAAGUAUGCUAGGACCCGAAAGAUGGUGAACUAUGCCUGAAUAGGGCGAAGCCAGAGGAAACUCUGGUGGAGGCUCGUAGCGAUUCUGACGUGCAAAUCGAUCGUCAAAUUUGGG
rnacentral:rRNA from 1 species